GCAAGAAUUAAACCACCAAGCAGUGUAGAGGUUAGGUUCGAGCUGUUAAAUCUGAUACACAAUUUUAGUGAAAGCGCACAAAACAGGCAAAGUGAAAUGAAAUGGAACAGGCAAAAUAAAACCAUGCUAUAGAAUAGCAAUGUGAUUAUCAUACUUACAUACAGCUGCUCUCAAAAGAUUUCAUACCCUUGGAGAGUGGCAGAAAUUAGUCUUACACCUCAUGGCCAGCAAACCUCACAGAGUCAACCAAGGUUUUGGUUGAGCAUCAGCUACCUCCGUCAGACAGGUUAUGCAUAAGUUUCCCCUUUCAGCUGCUAUCCUAUUACAUCCCAG